rnacentral:lncRNA from 1 species
UGCAUCCACAUUGACAGGAGAACUUGGCGUGGGGCUAGACUAAAAACAAUGCUGUUUAAUCAGAUGGGUAAAGAGGAUCAUGAAUCAGGGACAACAACAAGAGCUACAGAUCAGAAAUCUGACUCUAGAGUAGGCUGCUUCAUUGUCAUUGUUCAUUAUUUUCCAUAGCCCUGUUGAUCCCCAGCCUCUCAUUACGCUUCUCAAGAGUUUUCACAACUGGAGUUGAGGGCGUUUGGAUGUGAUUUUCCACACGGAUUAUUUGAUGCAUUUUCC